CAACGAAGGGUGAUGCUUCGGCUUCAGUUGAAGAUUACAAGAAGAAACACAAUAUUCCUUGAAUUUAAUUGUUUAAAAUUUUCUGAAUAAAAAAAAUAAUUAUCUUAAAAAAAAA
rnacentral:ribozyme from 13 species